AUUGAACGCUGGCGGCAGGCCUAACACAUGCAAGUCGAACGGUAACAGGAAGCAGCUUGCUGCUUCGCUGACGAGUGGCGGACGGGUGAGUAAUGUCUGGGAAGCUGCCUGAUGGAGGGGGAUAACUACUGGAAACGGUAGCUAAUACCGCAUAAUGUCGCAAGACCAAAGAGGGGGACCUUCGGGCCUCUUGCCAUCGGAUGUGCCCAGAUGGGAUUAGCUUGUUGGUGGGGUAACGGCUCACCAAGGCGACGAUCCCUAGCUGGUCUGAGAGGAUGACCAGCCACACUGGGACUGAGACACGGUCCAGACUACUACGGGAGGCAGCAGUGGGGAAUAUUGCACAAUGGGCGCAAGCCUGAUGCAGCCAUGCCGCGUGUAUGAAGAAGGCCUUCGGGUUGUAAAGUACUUUCAGCGGGGAGGAAGGGAGUAAAGUUAAUACCUUUGCUCAUUGACGUUACCCGCAGAAGAAGCACCGGCUAACUCCGUG
rnacentral:rRNA from 1 species